UACAAUUUUUGAUUCUUUGUUUUAUUUAAAUUUUUUUUAUGAUUGAUAUUUUUGUUUUUAUUAGAUGAUAAAUCAUGAGUAGUACUUUACGUGUGACUAAUUUUUUUCUAAUUUCUAAAAUAUUUUUAAAUAAAACGGAUGGUUAAACGUUGAACGCAGAAACCGAAG
rnacentral:pre_miRNA from 1 species